ACUUGUAAGAACAACAGAAGUAUUUGCGUAAAGGUCCCCUUUGAUACCAUGCAAUAUCAUAAUCUGCAAUAUAUUACAAAUAGUUACAAAGUCAGUUAAGUACCCCCUGCUCUGAAACAGAAACACGCUUAGUUUAUUCUUUAAAAAAAUCAUUUGUAACAUAGAAGAAUUAGUUAAUUUAUGAAUUAAAAGAGUUCUUCACAUAAAUACAGUUAAGGUAAAACCCAGCUGUCCUCACAGUUUACUCUUGUUUAAUGAAACAUUUAACAUUUUUUGGCAGUGGCAUUGUAUUUAAAUAAACAUAACUAAAACAGCAUACAGCAAAAUCUAAUUUGGGAGAUAAUAAAUAACACACCCUGUCUAGCACUAUUUAAUGUGUUUAAAUCUUCCCCUAAAAUCAGAGAAAGAUGAAAUUGCAGAAAUUUGAAUUACAAUUUGACCAUACAUUUAUUUGGAACAGUCUAUUAGCAUUGUCUUUUAACUAGUUGGGAACUUUGACAGGGUUUGUACCAUUGGUAAUUUGUUAGAUUUUAAGUUUAGAUCAUGAUGGUAAAUAAAAACAUCCAGUUCGGAGAGCAAACAUGGCUUGUUAAUGAGAGAGCUCAGAGGAGAAUGGCCAGACUCUUUCAAGCUGACAGGAAGACUAUGAUAGCUCAAAAGACCACUUUUUACAAUCAUGGUGAGCAUUUUACCCUUUAGGAAAUACCUCAAAACAGAUGAAAUUCACCUAAUAGAAGACCACAUUGGGUUUCAAUUCUGUUAGGAAAGAACAGGAAACCUUUGGACUAUAUAUUUACUAAAAAAUGCCAAGAAUGUAGUUUAUCUAUGCAUCAACAAUCAAUUUGUAUCAAAGCAACAUCAGCAGCCAGAGACAGAACAGCCAAUAGAUUUGGGGCAUGAACUCUUACAUUCAUCUAGAGCAGGAGUCAGUGACAUGGAGAUUGAGAAAGACUAGAAUAAUUUUGCAUUCAUUUGCAAAGAAGAAGAGGCAUAUUUUGAAUCCCCUAAAAUUAACAUAAUGGCCCUGUGCUACAUUUUCAAGUGGUAGUUGUGAUCGCAUUCUCCUUCAUCUCACUCUUAUUCACUCUUCGGCUACAUUUUGAAUUGAAACAAAUAAUGUUUGAAGGUGCCCUUGUAAUCUAGACUCAGGCUUCUGUGUUCGGCCCUUGUGCAUUCUAUUGUGCUGCAUGCUUUUUUUUAAAACUCUAAACAGCCAACAGAGACACUGCAAGCUCUUAAAGACCAGCGAGAUUUGAUCCUUCAGAGCUAAUGCCAGAAUACAUUAUUCAUCUGGUAAAAUCUCCCAGGUUAUGGCUGAAAGGAAGGUCGAAGCCGGGAAAGAAUUCAUUCAUAUGAAGAGAGUCGUGGAGGAUUAUACGCUGGGAGUGUAACAAGAGAGAUGACGUUAAUAGAAACACACAUCUUGGUAAAAAGAAAUAGAGUCACUUGAAGUCUGUAGGAGUCUCUCGAAAACCAAACAUAGUCUAGACUAAGGAAAUUUGGGUGUGCCAUUUGGACUUUCAGUGUGAAGGUGUGCAACUGUGAAGUCAAGGAAAUAAAUCUAAGAAGAAUGGAAUACAGUAUUUAGACAGUGUAUGAAGGCUGAUAGUUCUGUAUUUUAGUUCUUUUUUUUGUCUCACCAAGAGACAUUACCAACAUCCAAUCAUUAAUCAUCAAAACAUUUCUCUUUGUGAGAAUCUAGGAGGAAGAGGUUUGUUAUGGUUCCCUAUGCCAGCGGUGAUCGAGUGAAGGGCGGAGCCGGACAGUUUCAGUCAAGUGAUGCCAAUAAAGAUGAGAGAGACACCAGCCUCAGGAAGAGCGCUACCAAGCAGAGAUGAGCGGAAGGAUUGCCAAACGGUGACUGAGCGUGGGGGGGGCGCCGGAGAAAGACGUGCCGGCGGGCUAGUGCACUCGGGCAGACGCUAGGAAAAGGCGUGCCGGUCUGCAUGGAAACUCAAGCAUGCAUUAGAAAGAGAAAUUGUGCCAAUCCGCAAGUGUAAUGGCCGGACGGCGGAGAAAAGCGGGCUGAUCCGCAACAUGGAACCAGUAAGUUUGUUACAGUAGUGCCGAAACCCAGUGGUGAGGGUAUGACGCCAGGGAGACUUCGCCACGGAGGGAGCAGGACCAGUCCAAGGAGGAGUGCUGCCACUGACUCCGCAGUCGGUCGUUGGGGGUAUGUGCCAGCGGUGAGCAAGUGGAGGGUAGACCCGGACAGAACGAACAGUAAGAAACAUCUUUAGCUGAUGAGACUAAUCAGUGCUCUCUGUUUAAGUCCGGCUACGCCAAUAAAGAGAAGCGAGUCCCCAGCCUCGUGGAGAAAGACACCAAGCAGACACAGGCUGAAGGGUCACUGAACGGUGACUCAACGCAGGCGGAUGCCAGGGAAAGGCAUGAAAAAAUGGAAAGCGUGCCGAUUCGUGAGUAAGAUAGGUGGACGCGGGGGAAAAGGCGGGCCGAUCCACAAAUGGGGCGCCGGCGGACGUCAAGUGGAAAGGCAUCCCGAAAGACUGUGGGAUGAAAAUGAAAGUAAAUAAAGCUCUGCUUGGUGAA